AGAACUUGUAGGAUCGAGGCCUACUCAUCUAG
rnacentral:tRNA from 1 species